CAGUAAGGGAGAGAAAACUCAAGCUCCACCCUGCAUCUCAGAUCGAGGAAAAGAAGAACAAGCAGAGGUGUGGUGGCACAGGACAGCAACCCGCGGCGCUCCGAGGGCUCGGCGGGCCUGCGCUCGCAGCCACCGGGGGCACGGGGCCCGUGCGCUCUCCGCUCGUCCAGGGCCCGGGCCGGCGACCCCGCUCCGUUUGCCAGCGCCCUCCGGAGGAAGGCUGCCUGUCGGGGCCACAGGCGACUUGGGCUGGAGGCGGGAGCGAGACGGCGUCGCGGGACUCACUCGGGAGUGGGGUAAGGCGGAGGCUCGGACCCUGCUCAGGAAAGCGACCAACGUCCAACUCCAGAAUUUGUCAUGUCUAAAGCAGCUCCAGGAAGGCCGGGCUGGCUUUGGGGAACCCUGAACAGGGGUGUGGCUCACCCCAGUUGGUCUCUCUCUCUAGCCGUCGUCGUCCUCGCCCGUCCUCCCCUCUCCGGGUCCCCCGCCCCGCACAGUCUCGGGCGGCGCGUGCCGAGCCCGCGGAGCCUGGAGAAGAGCGAAGGAGCCCCCUGCUGGCCGGACGCGGCCGGCGCGGCCACCCGCUCCGCGUCCCCGGGCCCCGCGGGCGCGGCCCGGCCGACCUCCGCCCUCCCUGCGCCUCCUGCGCCCCCUGCGCCCCUUGCGCUGAGAGCGAGCUAAAAGAAACAAAACAAAACAAAAACAAAAACAAAAACAAACAGGACGCCCAACCCGCGCUCACUUCAUCUGCUGCUCAAAGGUAUUUUGACUGUUCCAGGGAAGAGCUGCUGUAGGAAGACAGACAAAUCACUAGUGGGCACCUUCUGAAAAUGGCUAAGGGUCACUGAAGACAUAAAUCAGAAUCCCGUUGCUUUGGAAGCACCCCAGAGAAUCAGGGUCCUGUCUGCCAACAGCGGCAGGGACUCGCCAAUCAGUAUUCCAGGGGCUCCUGUCCUCACCUUCUAGGGUAGUGAUUUUCAAC